AGCGUACACGGUGGAUGCCCUGGCAGUCAGAGGCGAUGAAGGACGUGCUAAUCUGCGAUAAGCGUCGGUAAGGUGAUAUGAACCGUUAUAACCGGCGAUUUCCGAAUGGGGAAACCCAGUGUGAUUCGUCACACUAUCAUUAACUGAAUCCAUAGGUUAAUGAGGCGAACCGGGGGAACUGAAACAUCUAAGUACCCCGAGGAAAAGAAAUCAACCGAGAUUCCCCCAGUAGCGGCGAGCGAACGGGGAGCAGCCCAGAGCCUGAAUCAGUGUGUGUGUUAGUGGAAGCGUCUGGAAAGGCGCGCGAUACAGGGUGACAGCCCCGUACACAAAAAUGCACAUGCUGUGAGCUCGAUGAGUAGGGCGGGACACGUGGUAUCCUGUCUGAAUAUGGGGGGACCAUCCUCCAAGGCUAAAUACUCCUGACUGACCGAUAGUGAACCAGUACCGUGAGGGAAAGGCGAAAAGAACCCCGGCGAGGGGAGUGAAAAAGAACCUGAAACCGUGUACGUACAAGCAGUGGGAGCACAGAGCAAUCUGUGUGACUGCGUACCUUUUGUAUAAUGGGUCAGCGACUUAUAUUCUGUAGCAAGGUUAACCGAAUAGGGGAGCCGAAGGGAAACCGAGUCUUAACUGGGCGUUAAGUUGCAGGGUAUAGACCCGAAACCCGGUGAUCUAGCCAUGGGCAGGUUGAAGGUUGGGUAACACUAACUGGAGGACCGAACCGACUAAUGUUGAAAAAUUAGCGGAUGACUUGUGGCUGGGGGUGAAAGGCCAAUCAAACCGGGAGAUAGCUGGUUCUCCCCGAAAGCUAUUUAGGUAGCGCCUCGUGAAUUCAUCUCCGGGGGUAGAGCACUGUUUCGGCAAGGGGGUCAUCCCGACUUACCAACCCGAUGCAAACUGCGAAUACCGGAGAAUGUUAUCACGGGAGACACACGGCGGGUGCUAACGUCCGUCGUGAAGAGGGAAACAACCCAGACCGCCAGCUAAGGUCCCAAAGUCAUGGUUAAGUGGGAAACGAUGUGGGAAGGCCCAGACAGCCAGGAUGUUGGCUUAGAAGCAGCCAUCAUUUAAAGAAAGCGUAAUAGCUCACUGGUCGAGUCGGCCUGCGCGGAAGAUGUAACGGGGCUAAACCAUGCACCGAAGCUGCGGCAGCGACGCUGAUGCGUUGUUGGGUAGGGGAGCGUUCUGUAAGCCUGUGAAGGUGUGCUGUGAGGCAUGCUGGAGGUAUCAGAAGUGCGAAUGCUGACAUAAGUAACGAUAAAGCGGGUGAAAAGCCCGCUCGCCGGAAGACCAAGGGUUCCUGUCCAACGUUAAUCGGGGCAGGGUGAGUCGACCCCUAAGGCGAGGCCGAAAGGCGUAGUCGAUGGGAAACAGGUUAAUAUUCCUGUACUUGGUGUUACUGCGAAGGGGGGACGGAGAAGGCUAUGUUGGCCGGGCGACGGUUGUCCCGGUUUAAGCGUGUAGGCUGGUUUUCCAGGCAAAUCCGGAAAAUCAAGGCUGAGGCGUGAUGACGAGGCACUACGGUGCUGAAGCAACAAAUGCCCUGCUUCCAGGAAAAGCCUCUAAGCAUCAGGUAACAUCAAAUCGUACCCCAAACCGACACAGGUGGUCAGGUAGAGAAUACCAAGGCGCUUGAGAGAACUCGGGUGAAGGAACUAGGCAAAAUGGUGCCGUAACUUCGGGAGAAGGCACGCUGAUAUGUAGGUGAAGUCCCUCGCGGAUGGAGCUGAAAUCAGUCGAAGAUACCAGCUGGCUGCAACUGUUUAUUAAAAACACAGCACUGUGCAAACACGAAAGUGGACGUAUACGGUGUGACGCCUGCCCGGUGCCGGAAGGUUAAUUGAUGGGGUCAGCGCAAGCGAAGCUCUUGAUCGAAGCCCCGGUAAACGGCGGCCGUAACUAUAACGGUCCUAAGGUAGCGAAAUUCCUUGUCGGGUAAGUUCCGACCUGCACGAAUGGCGUAAUGAUGGCCAGGCUGUCUCCACCCGAGACUCAGUGAAAUUGAACUCGCUGUGAAGAUGCAGUGUACCCGCGGCAAGACGGAAAGACCCCGUGAACCUUUACUAUAGCUUGACACUGAACAUUGAGCCUUGAUGUGUAGGAUAGGUGGGAGGCUUUGAAGUGUGGACGCCAGUCUGCAUGGAGCCGGCCUUGAAAUACCACCCUUUAAUGUUUGAUGUUCUAACGUUGACCCGUGAUCCGGGUUGCGGACAGUGUCUGGUGGGUAGUUUGACUGGGGCGGUCUCCUCCUAAAGAGUAACGGAGGAGCACGAAGGUUGGCUAAUCCUGGUCGGACAUCAGGAGGUUAGUGCAAUGGCAUAAGCCAGCUUGACUGCGAGCGUGACGGCGCGAGCAGGUGCGAAAGCAGGUCAUAGUGAUCCGGUGGUUCUGAAUGGAAGGGCCAUCGCUCAACGGAUAAAAGGUACUCCGGGGAUAACAGGCUGAUACCGCCCAAGAGUUCAUAUCGACGGCGGUGUUUGGCACCUCGAUGUCGGCUCAUCACAUCCUGGGGCUGAAGUAGGUCCCAAGGGUAUGGCUGUUCGCCAUUUAAAGUGGUACGCGAGCUGGGUUUAGAACGUCGUGAGACAGUUCGGUCCCUAUCUGCCGUGGGCGCUGGAGAACUGAGGGGGGCUGCUCCUAGUACGAGAGGACCGGAGUGGACGCAUCACUGGUGUUCGGGUUGUCAUGCCAAUGGCACUGCCCGGUAGCUAAAUGCGGAAGAGAUAAGUGCUGAAAGCAUCUAAGCACGAAACUUGCCCCGAGAUGAGUUCUCCCUGACUCCUUGA
rnacentral:rRNA from 1 species